AUGGUGCUGGCGUGGGGCGCGAUUGCGGUGACGUGUGCGUUCACGCAGGCUGUGUGGGGGUUCCAGGGUGGUGGUAGUGCCAUGCCUUCUCCGGGUCAAAAUUGGCGGCGCUUGGGUUGCUUGCAUUAUGGGGAUGGCGACGACAUGGGGCUCAUGCUCGGGUGGGCCAGCUUUGGGCUCGAGACAGUGGGGCGAAAGCUUGUUUUGAGAGGGAUGUGGGAGGGGGCGGAGCAAUCGGGCCUGGGUAUGGGGAGGAGAUGUACAAAUGGGGGAGAAACAGACCUGCGUCACCGCCUCCUUCCUGGUCACUGGGGGCUCAAAGGGGCGGCCGGGACAUUGAUUGCAUUGAACAAUGGGUGUGGCCAUGAAGACUUCACUGCAUCAAACAUCUCCUGA
rnacentral:rRNA from 1 species